rnacentral:rRNA from 1 species
UAAUGCUUAGGAAUCUGCCUAUUAGUGGGGGACAACAUUUCGAAAGGAAUGCUAAUACCGCAUACGUCCUACGGGAGAAAGCAGGGGACCUUCGGGCCUUGCGCUAAUAGAUGAGCCUAAGUCGGAUUAGCUAGUUGGUGGGGUAAAGGCCUACCAAGGCGACGAUCUGUAGCGGGUCUGAGAGGAUGAUCCGCCACACUGGGACUGAGACACGGCCCAGACUCCUACGGGAGGCAGCAGUGGGGAAUAUUGGACAAUGGGGGGAACCCUGAUCCAGCCAUGCCGCGUGUGUGAAGAAGGCCUUUUGGUUGUAAAGCACUUUAAGCGAGGAGGAGGCUACCGAGAUUAAUACUCUUGGAUAGUGGACGUUACUCGCAGAAUAAGCACCGGCUAACUCUGUGCCAGCAGCCGCGGUAAUACAGAGGGUGCGAGCGUUAAUCGGAUUUACUGGGCGUAAAGCGUGCGUAGGCGGCUUUUUAAGUCGGAUGUGAAAUCCCUGAGCUUAACUUAGGAAUUGCAUUCGAUACUGGGAAGCUAGAGUAUGGGAGAGGAUGGUAGAAUUCCAGGUGUAGCGGUGAAAUGCGUAGAGAUCUGGAGGAAUACCGAUGGCGAAGGCAGCCAUCUGGCCUAAUACUGACGCUGAGGUACGAAAGCAUGGGG